CGGGAUGUAGCGCAGUUUGGUAGCGCGCCUGCUUUGGGAGCAGGAUGCCGCAGGUUCGAAUCCUGUCAUCCCGA
rnacentral:tRNA from 1 species